GUCUACGGCCACGCCACCCUGAACACGCCCGAUCCCGUCUGAGCUCGGAAGCUAAGCAGGGUCGGGCCUGGUUAGUACUUGGAUGGGAGACCACCUAGGAAGACCAGGUGCUGUAGGCG
rnacentral:rRNA from 1 species